ACAUUAUAAGCGGAGGAAAAGAAACCAACAGGGAUUGCCCCAGUAACGGCGAGUGAAGCGGCAACAGCUCAAAUUUGAAAUCUGGUCCCCCCGCGGGGCCCGAGUUGUAAUUUGAAGAGGAUGCUUCUGGCAAGGUGCCGUCCGAGUUCCCUGGAACGGGACGCCGCAGAGGGUGAGAGCCCCGUACGGUCGGACGCCGAGCCUCUGUGAAGCUCCUUCGACGAGUCGAGUAGUUUGGGAAUGCUGCUCAAAAUGGGAGGUAAACCCCUUCUAAAGCUAAAUACCGGCCAGAGACCGAUAGCGCACAAGUAGAGUGAUCGAAAGAUGAAAAGCACUUUGAAAAGAGAGUUAAAAAGCACGUGAAAUUGUUGAAAGGGAAGCGCUUGCGACCAGACUCGCGCCCGUCGGAUCAGCCGUCGCUCGUCGGCGGCGCACUCCGGCGGGCUCGGGCCAGCAUCAGUUCGCCUCGGGGGGAGAAAGGCGGCGGGAAUGUGGCUCCACGGAGUGUUAUAGCCCACCGCGUAAUACCCCCGGGCGGACUGAGGACCGCGCGUAUGCAAGGAUGCUGGCGUAAUGGUCGUCAGCGACCCGUCUUGAAACACGGACCAAGGAGUCGUCCUAAUAUGCGAGUGUACGGGUGUCAAACCCCUGCGCGUAAUGAAAGUGAACGGAGGUGAGAGCUUCGGCGCAUCAUCGACCGAUCCUGAUGUUCUCGGAUGGAUUUGAGUAAGAGCAUAUUGGGCCGGACCCGAAAGAAGGUGAACUAUGCCUGUGUAGGGUAAAGCCAGAGGAAACUCUGGUGGAGGCUCGCAGCGGUUCUGACGUGCAAAUCGAUCGUCAAACAUGGGCAUGGGGGGCGAAAGACUAAUCGAACCUUCUAGUAGCUGGUUUCCGCAGUU
rnacentral:rRNA from 1 species